rnacentral:lncRNA from 1 species
ACUUAAAAGUAUAACUCAAAAGCUGAGUGAUGGUCUGAUGUUAUUCUUCUUGCUUCCAGCCUCAGGAAACAACUUCAAGGUCUCAUACCUUCAAAAACAAGUCUUUUAAAAAAUCCAGAAUCUGUGGAAUCUGCAAACAAGUAAUUGACAGCCAAGGAAUUUCUUGCAGAGUCUUCUCCCUUGCUGUGUAGAAUUGAGCCUACUUCUCCAUGGGAUGCCUGUGAUGAAAUUAAAUGUUGGGAAAGCUCAACAGCAUGGACUUCAUAAAGAAGAGUUCUGGAAAAGCUGGAACUGAAAGUUACCUCUUUCUUUGCCAGCACUGCAGUAGUUGAAAUGUACGCUAG